rnacentral:tRNA from 2 species
GGGCCCGUAGCUCAGCGGUUAGAGCAGUGGACUCAUAAUCCAUUGGUCGCUGGUUCGAAUCCAGCUGGGCCCA